rnacentral:rRNA from 1 species
UCGAACGGGGUUUAUAUAACAGAACUCUCCGGAGGGAAGAUAUAUAAACCUAGUGGCGGACGGGUGAGUAACGCGUGGGCAACCUGCCCUGUACCGGGGGACAACAGCCAGAAAUGGCUGCUAAUACCGCAUAAGCCUGCUGUGCCGCAUGGCACAGCAGGGAAAACCACGGUGGUACAGGAUGGGCCCGCGUCUGAUUAGUUAGUUGGCAGGGUAACGGCCUACCAAGACAACGAUCAGUAGCCGGCUUGAGAGAGUGGACGGCCACAUUGGGACUGAGACACGGCCCAGACUCCUGCGGGAGGCAGCAGUGGGGAAUAUUGCACAAUGGGGGGAACCCUGAUGCAGCAAUGCCGCGUGGGUGAAGAAGCACUCCGGUGCGUAAAGCCCUGUCAGCAGGGAAGAAAAUGACAGUACCUGGACAAGAAGCCCCGGCUAACUACGUGCCAGCAGCCGCGGUAAUACGUAGGGGGCAAGCGUUAUCCGGAUUUACUGGGUGUAAAGGGAGCGCAGGCGGCGUGGCAAGUCAGAUGUGAAAACCCGGGGCCCAACCCCGGGAGUGCAUUUGAAACUGCCAUGCUGGAGUGCCGGAGAGGUAAGCGGAAUUCCUAGUGUAGCGGUGAAAUGCGUAGAUAUUAGGAGGAACACCAGUGGCGGAGGCGGCUUACUGGACGGUAACUGACGCUGAGGCUCGAAAGCGUGGGGAGCAAACAGGAUUAGAUACCCUGGUAGUC